rnacentral:rRNA from 1 species
CCUACGGGUGGCAGCAGUGAGGAAUAUUGGUCAAUGGGCGCGAGCCUGAACCAGCCAAGUAGCGUGAAGGAUGACUGCCCUAAGGGUUGUAAACUUCUUUUAUAAAGGAAUAAAGUGAGGCACGUGUGCCGUUUUGUAUGUACUUUAUGAAUAAGGAUCGGCUAACUCCGUGCCAGCAGCCGCGGUAAUACGGAGGAUCCGAGCGUUAUCCGGAUUUAUUGGGUGUAAAGGGAGCGUAGUUGGGCUGUUAAGUCAGUUGUGAAAGUUUGCGGCUCAACCGUAAAAUUGCAAUUGAUACUGGCAGUCUUGAGUACAGCAGAGGUAGGCGGAAUUCGUGGUGUAGCGGUGAAAUGCUUAGAUAUCACGAAGAACUCCGAUUGCGAAGGCAGCUUACUGAACUGUCACUGACGUUGAUGCUCGAAAGUGUGGGUAUCAAACAGGAUUAGAUACCCGUGUAGUC